rnacentral:other from 1 species
CGUCUCCUGGGAUGUUGGCCAGCUAGCGUCAUCCUUGAGCCGUUAUAGAAACCUAAGGGGAUUCGGCGUCGGCGACGGUUGUGCACACCCUAGGACUGCGGUGAACGUGCGCCCUGACGGGCGCGUUGUAAAUCCGCAGGCGGAUUGUGGGAAGCCUGAAGUGCCGCCUGAAUCCCCGCCUUGAACCACAACGGUUCAGGGUCACCAAGCAGCCGCAUUGCCGGGAGACAA